rnacentral:rRNA from 1 species
CCUACGGGUGGCAGCAGUGGGGAAUAUUGGACAAUGGGCGAAAGCCUGAUCCAGCCAUGCCGCGUGUGUGAAGAAGGCCUUCGGGUUGUAAAGCACUUUCAGUGGGGAAGAAAGCCUUGGGGCUAAUACCCUCUAGGAAGGACAUCACCCACAGAAGAAGGACCGGCUAACUCCGUGCCAGCAGCCGCGGUAAUACGGAGGGUGCGAGCGUUAAUCGGAAUUACUGGGCGUAAAGCGCGCGUAGGCGGUCUGAUAAGCCGGUUGUGAAAGCCCCGGGCUCAACCUGGGAACGGCAUCCGGAACUGUCAGGCUAGAGUGCAGGAGAGGAAGGUAGAAUUCCCGGUGUAGCGGUGAAAUGCGUAGAGAUCGGGAGGAAUACCAGUGGCGAAGGCGGCCUUCUGGACAGACACUGACGCUGAGGUGCGAAAGCGUGGGUAGCAAACAGGAUUAGAUACCCGGGUAGUC